rnacentral:rRNA from 1 species
AGAGUUUGAUCAUGGCUCAGAACGAACGCUGGCGGCGUGCCUAACACAUGCAAGUCGAACGUGAUUGGAAGCUUGCUUCCAUGAAAGUGGCGCACGGGUGAGUAACGCGUAGAUAAUCUACCUGAUGAUCCGGGAUAACACUUCGAAAGGGGUGCUAAUACCGGAUAAGCCCACGGAGUCCUUGGACACUGCGGGAAAAGGGGGGGACCUUCGGGCCUUCCGUCAUCAGAUGAGUCUGCGUACCAUUAGCUAGUUGGUAGGGUAAAGGCCUACCAAGGCGACGAUGGUUAGCUGGUCUGAGAGGAUGAUCAGCCACACUGGAACUGAGACACGGUCCAGACUCCUACGGGAGGCAGCAGUGGGGAAUUUUGCGCAAUGGGGGAAACCCUGACGCAGCAACGCCGCGUGAGUGAUGAAGGCCCUUGGGUCGUAAAGCUCUGACAGAGGGAAAGAAAUGUGUGGAGGCUAAUAUCCUUUGCACUUGACGGUACCCUCAAAGGAAGCACCGGCUAACUCCGUGCCAGCAGCCGCGGUAAUACGGGGGGUGCAAGCGUUGUUCGGAUUUAUUGGGCGUAAAGCGCGUGUAGGCGGUUUUUUAAGUCUGAUGUGAAAGCCCUGGGCUCAACCUGGGAAGUGCAUUGGAUACUGGAAGACUUGAAUACGGGAGAGGGCAGUGGAAUUCCUGGUGUAGGAGUGAAAUCCGUAGAUAUCAGGAGGAACACCGGUGGCGAAGGCGGCUGCCUGGACCGAUAUUGACGCUGAGACGCGAAAGCGUGGGUAGCAAACAGGAUUAGAUACCCUAGUAGUCC